GAAAGAGUUGUAGGUGGGGCAAUGCAAGCCAUCAGGUACAAGCAUAAAUUUUCCUAGAAAAUUUGGAGUUAUUAGCCUGUCAUUAAAGGGAGAUGUUUCUAGGAAAGUAGAGGUGGAAACCUGAAGGUCCUUUCGAGGCUAUUUUUCUUCUCUUUUCAUUGAGCCAUGCAGCAAUAUCAUUUCCAUGUUCAAAUACUUCUAAGAUUGGCUAAAUGAGUUUAAUUAAUGAGCACCUUCUUUUUCAUAAUAGAUCUCAUCAAGCAUGUAUAUA
rnacentral:misc_RNA from 1 species